AAGCAUUCGAAUUGAGGGACCGUCCAUUUCUCCGAAGAUUUGAAAAUUUAAACGUCUAACGAGAUUUGUUGGUGUGACGAUUUGUGUUGGUAGCCACGGACACGGGUGUGCGUGGUGUGUAUCAACGGAGAUACUCAUCGUCGCUGGGACACGCGCUUUUUGGGAGAAUUCGGCUACCAGAUCGAGAAAUCGAGCGACGGCGAUCACGAUAAAAUCCUCCGAUUGUGUCUCCAAUCGCGUUUCGAACGCGCCGUAUAAUCGGUAGCGCGACCCGGAGGUGGAAGGUAGUUCUCCCGCAAAUUUCCCAAGUUCGUCUGAAGGCAGAUUAGGGCAACAUGGCUACCACGGUCAGCGCGGCGGCUCAUUCCGUGUAGGUAUACACGUGUUUACUUGAACAGGUAGUUUCUAAAGGAAUGUGCGUGCUCUCGACGAGGAUAUUCAUGAGAUAGUGACACAACAAGCAAAUUGUAUGUUAUGUAUUGUCAAAAAUUCUGAAAGAGAGAGAGAGAGAGAGAGAGAGAGAUAGAAGAGAGACAGAACAAAAGAGAUAAAUGGAAUAAAGACAUAUUAAAUCUCAAAUGACGAAAAUGUUUGGAAAUUAAGCUUCGGAAGCAUCUUGAA